AUCAAUUUUUUAUUUUUUUUCAAAAAGUAGAGCCCUCAGAUCUCAUAGCUUCUAGAAUCACAGACGGCUAAUCCGGUGGGGAUCCAUCAGAGGCCUUGAACGCACCACCAUCACAACCAAGCAACCACGUGAAUGUGUGUGCCGUGUAUCUAUCUAUCAAUAGUAAAGAGUAGGAGGUGGAGGCGGUGGUGGUGGAGGUGGAGGUAGCUGAUUAUUCCAGUGAUGCGCGAAGGCCAACGAUGAAUCAAACACCACCAUGCCGCAUCAACGUAUUAAUUUUUCCAUCAUUGGGCAAAUUUUUAGAAAAACAAUCAAAUCCAAAGCGAAUUACAAAUUCAAAUAGACACAGGUGAGUGGCAACGGCGUGCAGUGCAGCCAAACUAGGGUUUUUAGAUCGAGAGGAGGAAGCGGAAAUAGGAUUUUAUAGACUUUUUGAUGGGUUUAAUCACUUAGUUGGGCUGUUGUAGAUAUUGAGAUUCCUUUAUAAUUGGGUCAAGCCCAAUAUUAUUCAUUCCAACAAGUAUUGACUUUUC
rnacentral:lncRNA from 1 species